GGCUGGGGUUCUCGAUGGAGGGAGGAGGUGAGGAAUGGAGGGCGGGGAGGAGGGUGGCAGCUGUGACAACCAACAGCGCAGAUGAAGGACUGGACCCAGCGUGGACAAUCAACCAAUG